rnacentral:rRNA from 1 species
UACGGGGGGGGCAAGCGUUGUUCGGAAUUACUGGGCGUAAAGGGCGCGUAGGCGGCCAACUAAGUCAGACGUGAAAUCCCUCGGCUUAACCGGGGGAACUGCAUCUGAUACUGGAUGGCUUGAGAUUGGGAGAGGGAUGCGGAAUUCCAGGUGUAGCGGUGAAAUGCGUAGAUAUCUGGAGGAACACCGGUGGCGAAGGCGGCAUCCUGGACCAACACUGACGCUGAGUGAGCGAAAGCCAGGGGAGCAAACGGG